rnacentral:rRNA from 1 species
UACGGAGGAUCCAAGCGUUAUCCGGAAUCAUUGGGUUUAAAGGGUCCGUAGGCGGUUUUGUAAGUCAGUGGUGAAAGCCCAUCGCUCAACGGUGGAACGGCCAUUGAUACUGCAAGACUUGAAUUAUUGGGAAGCAACUAGAAUAUGUAGUGUAGCGGUGAAAUGCUUAGAGAUUACAUGGAAUACCAAUUGCGAAGGCAGGUUGCUACCAAUACAUUGACGCUGAUGGACGAAAGCGUGG